AUGAGUCUCUCUUCCAAUCCAAGAUGGUGAGUAUUUUCAACUAAAUGUUCCUCAACCAGUCCAUUCGUGCUGAUGAUAAGGGGAAGUAUCGUAGUGCUGUGUAAGCUCUUUCGAUGUUGUCAUCCGCUGGAAUGGUGAUGUCGAUGAUUAUCACCUUCCUGUUCGCUUUGUCGAAUAUGACAAUGUCGGGUCGAUUGUGUGGAACAGGCCUGUCCGUGUCCGGCUUGGAUGGCAAUGGCCUGGUGGUAUAUCUUGGCCAUAGCGUUGUGGCGAUGUGUGUACUCUCUGGGAGCCAUCACCGAACAGGACGAGGUGAUGUGCUGAAUGGUUUCAAGCGACUGAGCA